GGGGAUUGCCUUAGUAGCGGCGAGUGAAGCGGCAAAAGCUCAAAUUUGAAAUCUGGCACUUUCAGUGUCCGAGUUGUAAUUUGAAGAAGGUAUCUUUGGGUCUGGCUCUUGUCUAUGUUUCUUGGAACAGAACGUCACAGAGGGUGAGAAUCCCGUGCGAUGAGAUGUCCCAGACCUAUGUAAAGUUCCUUCGAAGAGUCGAGUUGUUUGGGAAUGCAGCUCUAAGUGGGUGGUAAAUUCCAUCUAAAGCUAAAUAUUGGCGAGAGACCGAUAGCGAACAAGUACAGUGAUGGAAAGAUGAAAAGAACUUUGAAAAGAGAGUGAAAAAGUACGUGAAAUUGUUGAAAGGGAAGGGCUUGAGAUCAGACUUGGUAUUUUGUAUGUUACUCUCUCGGGGGUGGCCUCUACAGUUUACCGGGCCAGCAUCAGUUUGAGCGGUAGGAUAAGUGCAAAGAAAUGUGGCACUGCUUCGGUAGUGUGUUAUAGUCUUUGUCGAUACUGCCAGCUUAGACUGAGGACUGCGGCUUCGGCCUAGGAUGUUGGCAUAAUGAUCUUAAGUCGCCCGUCUUGAACCACGGGACCCAA
rnacentral:rRNA from 1 species